UACGGAGGAUUCGAGCGUUGUCCGGAUUUAUUGGGUUUAAAGGGAGCGUAGGCGGGUUGUUAAGUCAGUUGUGAAAGUUUGCGGCUCAACCGUAAAAUUGCAGUUGAUACUGGCAUCCUUGAGUACAGUAGAGGUAGGCGGAAUUCGUGGUGUAGCGGUGAAAUGCUUAGAUAUCACGAAGAACUCCGAUUGCGAAGGCAGCCUGCUGGACUGUAACUGACGCUGAUGCUCGAAAGUGUGGGUAUCAAACAGG
rnacentral:rRNA from 1 species